AGCUUUUGCAUAGUCUUCCAUGUGAAGAAAGACUUGUGAAAUUAUGGUGAAUAAUUUUAAGAUGUUUAUUGGAUUUUUCAAAAAAAGAGCAUAGAUAUCAAUUCUUCUUUUGAUUUAUCUUUUCAAUGUUUAAAUAAUAAUAAAUUUUGGCAGUUUCUAAUAAAGCUGUUGCAUAGUCUUACAUGUGCAGAAAGACUUGUGAAAUUAUGGUGAAUAACUUUCAGAUGUUUAUUGGUUUUGUCAAAAAAAGAGCAUAGAAAUCAAUACUUAUUUUGAUUUAUUUUUUCAAUGUUUAAAUACGUAUGAUUUUGGUGACUUCUUCAUAAAGCUUUUGCAUAGUCUUCCAUGUGAAGAAAGACUUGUGAAAUUAUGGUGAAUAAUUUUAAGAAGUUUAUUGGGUUUGUCAAAAAAAGAGCAUAGAAAUCAAUACUGAUUUUGAUUUUUUUUUCGACGUUUAAAUACUCAUAAAUUUUGGCAGUUUCUAAUAAAGCUGUUGCAUAGUCUUACAUGUGCAGAAAGACUAGUGGAAUCAUGGUGAAUAAUUUUAAGAUGUUUAUUGGAUUUGUCAAAAAAAGAGCAUAGAAAUCAAUACUGAUUUUGAUUUUUUUUUCAACGUUUAAAUACGUAUGAAUUUGGUGACUUCUUCAUAAAGCUUUUGCAUAGUCUGACAUGUGAAGAAAGACUUGUGAAAUCAUGGUGAAUAGUUUUAAGAUGUUUAUUGGAUUUUUCAAAAAAAGAGCAUAGAUAUCAAUUCUUCUUUUGAUUUAUCUUUUCAAUGUUUAAAUACUAAUGAAUUUUGGGACUUUCUAAUAAAGCUUUUGCAUAGUCUUACAUGUGAAGAAAGACUAGUGGAAUAAUGGUGAAUAACAUUGAGAUGUUUAUUGGUUUUGUCAAAAAAAGAGCAUCGAAAUCAAUAGUUAUUUUGAUUUAUUUUUUCAAUGUUUAAAUACAUAUGAAUUUGGUGACUUCUUCAUAAAGCUUUUGUAUAGUCUUCCAUGUGAAGAAAGACUUGUGAAAUUAUGGUGAAUAAUUUUAAGAAGUUUAUUGGGUUUGUCAAAAAAAGAGCA